rfam:Oryza punctata chromosome 8, whole genome shotgun sequence.
AGGAUAAGAGGCAGCCGGGCUAGCCAAGGAGACUGCCUGUACAUAUAUAUAUGCAUGAGCCUGCAAGCAGCUUGAUCAAUCCAUUGAUCACGCACAUAUAGAUCGAUACAGGCAAGUCAUCCUUGGCUACCAGGACUCACUCUCACCA